CAGUUCAGCUUCAACAUCAACAUGUUCUCUGUAGCUCUGAUGCUGCUGCUGGCUGCUGGAUCCUGUGUGAACAGUAUUGAUCUCAUCCAGACAGACUCAAUGGUUGUGCAGCCUGGACAGUCUCUGACCCUCAGCUGUCAGGUCUCAGGUUAUUCUCUGACUGAUAACAGCUAUGCAACAGGUUGGAUCAGACAGAGGGAAGGAAAACCAAUGGAUUGGAUUUCCCAUCAGUGGGGUGGAGGAAGCCUUUACCAAAAUAACGCUCUGAAGAACAAGUUCAGCUACAGCAGAGACACUUCUGCUCUUACAGUGUCUCUAAAAGGACAGAAUGUGCAGCCUGAGGACACAGCUGUGUAUUACUGUGUAUGUCGGCCCACAGUGAUACAAACCACCAAGAGACCAGCAAAAAUACCCAGCAACCAGCACGACUCAACCACACACACACUUUUUCUAAAUGUGAACAUUAAUAAAGACAGCGCUCUCUAAUUUAAUACAAUUAAU